UUUAGGUCUCUGAGUCUGCAAGACUGCCAUGCAGGCCUCCCCUGAGCUUGUCAGGUUAGCAUGUGGCCCCUUUUGUCCACACUGUACAUGCUUAAAAAUGCAGUAAGCAACACUGAAAAUCUUACCUAUACCCCAUGAGAAGCUACAUACAUAGGUCUCCCAGAGACAUUGCAGGGCCAUUUUAAACUGUCACAGAGAAUUGGAAGCCCAGCACGCAAGGAAUCAUUUUCAAGGUCCCAGGUCUGUGGUGAUUUUGCUCAGGAAUAUGGACCCAGGUACCCAAUUAGUCCGAAUAAGACUAGAAUUAUAUGUGCGAGAGUCAUGGAGAAUGGCAUGAAUCACUAACUGUUGGUAUGUAUUUUCCUCCAAGCAGCUUUUUCUCCAAGUUCAAGGCAUCAAAGGCAUCAUCAGAUAUUGAUAUAGAGGAAUGUGGAUUUUGAAGAAAGCGGCCUCUUUGGCUGAAAAAUAUUUAUGGCAACAAGAAAAACAAACGGAAGUCAGAGGAGCAGGAAUUGUUCCAAAAAAGGAAGCGGAGUAAAUCAUCCCCUUCAUUAACACACAUUGACUCAGAGUCUGCUGCAGACACAGGAGGGGAAUGUUCUACCUAAAAUCUCAGAAAUGAACCCCACCUUAAGUAUUAUUAAUUAAGGCUUAUUAAUAAAGCAUCCCGGUGCGUGAAAUUCGUGCAUGACGGCCGGGGAGGGGGGGGGUGUCCCUC